rnacentral:misc_RNA from 1 species
GAAAUGCGAUAAGUAAUGUGAAUUGCAGAAUUCAGUGAAUCAUCGAAUCUUUGAACGCACCUUGCGCUCCUUGGUAUUCCUUGGAGCAUGCCUGUUUGAGUAUCAUGAAAUCUUCAAAGUAAAUCUUUUGUUAACUCAAUUGGUUUCUACUUUGGUAUUGGAGGUCUUUGCAGCUUCACACCUGCUCCUCUUUGUUCAUUAGCUGGAUCUCAGUGUUAUGCUUGGUUCCACUCGGCGUGAUAAGUUAUCUAUCGCUGAGGACACUGUAAAAGGUGGCCAAGGUAAAUGCAGAUGACACGCUUCUAAUAGUCCAUUGACUUGGACAAUACUUUUAUGAUCUGAUCUCAAAUCAGGUAGGACUACCCGCUGAACUUAAGC